AUUGAACGCUGGCGGCAGGCCUAACACAUGCAAGUCGAACGAGUGGCGGACGGGUGAGUAAUGUCUGGGAAACUGCCUGAUGGAGGGGGAUAACUACUGGAAACGGUAGCUAAUACCGCAUACCAUCAGAUGUGCCCAGAUGGGAUUAGCUAGUAGGUGGGGUAAUGGCUCACCAAGGCGACGAUCCCUAGCUGGUCUGAGAGGAUGACCAGCAACACGGGAACUGAGACACUGGCCAGACUCCUACGGGAGGCAGCAGUGGGGAAUAUUGCACAAUGGACGCAAGCCUGAUGCAGCAAUGCCGCGUGUAUGAAGAAGGCCUUCGGGUCGUAAAGUACUUUUGGCGGGGAGGCGUUACCCGCAGAAGAAGCAACGGCUAACUCCGUGCCAGCAGCCGCGGUAAUAC
rnacentral:rRNA from 1 species